ACUAACAGCCAUUCCUGGGUAAACACUCAGAUAUCUUUCUGCCCUUUUCUCAGCUGUUGAAGUUUCUCUACGUUCCAGCCAAACUUUUAUUGUAUUUUUGCCUUUGGUGAUUCUAUGCUAAGAGUUAGUGUUUUCUGGCCUUAAGUUUAGUUUUAUUUAUAACUAUUUGAAUGACAUUUAGGGUAUUACAAAAGACGCGAUGUGUCGUGGGGUAUUUUUACAUCCUGAAAUUCUGCCCCCCGGGGUGUAACCAGCAGAAGACUGUCUUGUAUUUGCAGCCAAACCGUAAAAAUAGUGCGACGUUUGUUUCUGUAAUUCUAUUUCCUGGCACUAACAUGUGUGCAGUAUCAUUAUUCAGACAGCUCUCACUGGACAGCAGUGAUUAUCACCCAGUGAUAAUUACAGGGGCUGUAACGCGUAUGUGGGAAGAUCGUGGAGAAGCACCAGAAUUUCAGAAGAAAAACUCCAACUGUUGGCCAGACGAAAGACAAACGUGGUGGAAAUCCUCUGCUCAUGUCCUCAUUUUGACCAGCAUCACAGGAGGGAUACAUACCUAAGUGCAGCUGCCAGAGCACAUUAUGACAACAACUGCUGCUCACAUGUAAAUCCCACAACGUCACACAUUUAAAUCUGAUAUAAUAACUCAUGCAUGCAAAUCAUCAAGUA